GAUGAACGCUGGCGGCGUGCCUAAUACAUGCAAGUCGAGCGAACGGACGUGAAGCUUGCUUUUCUGAUGUUAGCGGCGGACGGGUGAGUAACACGUGGAUAACCUACCUAUAAGACUGGGAUAACUUCGGGAAACCGGAGCUAAUACCGGAUAAUAUUUUGAACCGCAUGGUUCAAAAGUGAAAGACGGUCUUGCUGUCACUUAUAGAUGGAUCCGCGCUGCAUUAGCUAGUUGGUAAGGUAACGGCUUACCAAGGCAACGAUGCAUAGCCGACCUGAGAGGGUGAUCGGCCACACUGGAACUGAGACACGGUCCAGACUCCUACGGGAGGCAGCAGUAGGGAAUCUUCCGCAAUGGGCGAAAGCCUGACGGAGCAACGCCGCGUGAGUGAUGAAGGUCUUCGGAUCGUAAAACUCUGCUAUUAGGGAAGAACAUAUGUGUAAGUAACUGUGCACAUCUUGACGGUACCUAAUCAGAAAGCCACGGCUAACUACGUG
rnacentral:rRNA from 1 species